UUGAGUCAAUUAGUAAUCUAAUAACUAAUUAAUUCUCUAUAAAUGAUAGAGUCUCAGUCUCAGUGGGACUGUCCCACAGAGUCUUAGUCCAAGUAGAACUCUUGACUAGAGUCACAAUCCAAUUGGACUCUUCAGCCAUCAGAUUUGAUCAAAUCUUCUAAUGCAUGUGACCCCAUAGGUUUGAACUUAAGCCGAUAGCAUAGAAAUAAUUUUUUAUAUCAAUCAAUGUAACCAUCUAGCAAUGAUGANNNN
rnacentral:lncRNA from 1 species